CUCGCCUGUGGCCCCAGUUAGCUGGGACUACAGGCAUGCGCCACCGUGUCUGGCCUCUAUUCUUGCAAUUGAAUGAGAUGCUAUGAGGCGCUGAGCGACCCACAGGAAAGUACUUAUCAAAAGCUUUGUGUCAUGAGAAGAUGCGGCUGUGGAAGGAGGUUCAAAGCUUGCACACACGCACACACACACAUGCACAUGAUUUGGCUUCCAUAAAGCUCGAGUAGAAUAUUAAAUAUUGAGUACUGAGUUUUUAAUUGUAAACUUAAGAUCUCAUCCUUAACUUUACAUAUACAUAGAUAACAGGGUGGUCAUGAAAAGCACUUUAACAUCAGGACAGAUGUUAAGUUCUGAGGUUCUGUUUUCAACUGCUCUACAUACAAAAUGCCCUACAAGCAAAGAAAGGCUUAAAUAAAUAGAUGGGGAUGAACAUGAUGCACGCCGUGGUGACAUGAGUGGUGUGCAGGGGUCGGACAGUGCGGAACCCGGGUGGGCAGGAGCACAUUGUGGAGACACAAGUGGUGGCAUCUCUGGGAUGUAGGGGAGGAUGUGGGGGGCUCCUUCAAGGUGGAGCUAGCAGAGGCCAUGGCUCGGGAGGAAGACAGGACAGGGACAGUUUGUGGGCCAGUGCCACACGCUCUCCUAUUGGCUUCAUGGGCCUGGGGGCAGCCCUGGGUAGCAAAGGACAGGGCCAGGCUCUCCCCCUGGAGACCCAGAGAUGGCGGUGGUCCUCUUAGGACAAACCCUCACCAGCCCCGCCCUCUGACCAGCCUGUCACUGGUGCUGAUGUCAGGUGGUGGCCAGUGAGGAAGGGGGUUAUUGACAGCCCUGCCUGUGGCUAAGGCACACCCAGCCUGGGAGCCCCAAGCAGCUGACCUGAGCAAUCCAGCGUCCCUUUAGUCACAGACGCCAAAGCUCCCAGAGGCAGUUCCACUGAGUGAGGGUGACAAGACCUAAAACCACCACCUACCCUGCUGAGCAGGACCCCCACCCCCUGUAGCAGGGAGAGGCUCCUGGGCCCCAGAAGCUGGAGGGGGUGGUGUCUUGAGCCCUGACACCUGCUGCUGCUAUCUUGACCCGACCACCCGCCCCAACUCGGAAUGCCACACUGUGACCACUGGGGCACCUCCUGAUUAUCCAAGAAAAGUGGAUAAAACCAAACGCUGCUGUCUGGGCCCAGCGGAGGCUCCCUGGGGCCUGGCUAGGGUGCGGGUUUCACACUGUGCCCCAGAGACCCAGCAGGGAAGGUGAGGCGGUGGAGGGAGUGGGGGGACCAAGAGGCUGAGCAGGGAAGGCCACAGAUCUGCCAGGAAGAAAGUCCCUGGGCUCCAGAUCUCGGGGGCGGGGGGCCCGUGCCACGCACUCUAAGCUAGCUGAGGAGGUGAUCUUAAAUUUAGGAGACGAGCCCACUCCCCCGCUUCCUGCCCCUCAGCAGCCACAAGAUGGGGGAAGGUGGCUGGUGCAACAGGAGCCUCAGCUCCCAGCUCCAUCUCCACAGAUCUUCACCGCACACCCGUGUGCAUCCACAUGCACACCCGUGUUUACAAUCACCUGCACCCCCACGGCGGGAUGGCGAGUCCGGUCAAGGUGCAGAUGUUUGGAAGCUGAGUUCCUGGGUCCCUGAGGGUUCCUGACCAGAGGCCCCAGCUGCUGCAGGGACUGAUGCUGGAGAGAAAGCUGGGAAAAGUGCUGGGAUCUGUGCUUCGUCCCACACUAGCGCCAUUACUUCUUCCCUCCAAAUUCAGGCCAGAAACUGGCAUCCGGGCUCUGGAAAUUGCCUUGAGCAGAGGAAACACUCUACUCCCGCUCGGCAUCAAGGCCUGGGUGAUGGAGAGUCAGGCGUGGUGCCCCUGGGGCACUGCCUGCCCUGGCACACAGGAUUAGGACCUGCUGGAGGCCUGCACCCUACUCCUGGCCGACGUGACCCAGAUGCUGAGGCAGGACUGGCACUGAGGUCCACUCUGAAGGAUGGCUCUGGAGAGACAGCGCCUGUGUGCCACCUGUGAGCCUCUGCACUGGGGGUCCUGCUGCGAGGUGGGAACGGCUACCACCCCUCCUGGGAGGGCAGGGACUGGCCCCGCACAUUCCCAGGACUUGGAAGCUCUAGAGACAAUCAGGAAGGAAGCACGCCUCGGGGGCAGGCUUGAGUGCCGUCUGGGUGGAAGCCGGAGACGCGCAGGCCCUGCGGAGCUGGAUGGCCCCAUCAAGGCCUCACAGGAGGCUGGCCAGGCUGGUGUUGGGUCCAUUCUGAGCUUGGAACUGCACGGGGGGUGGACCGUCUGUCCACUGUGGGGAGGAGAGGACAUGCGAGUGAGGCACUGUGGACCGUUCCCAGGGAAGAAGAGGUUGGAAUGCUGCCUUCCUUGGGCUGCUCACACAGCCGGGACUCUGUUCUCCAUGCCCCAGUCCAAUGGGCCCCGAGGAGACACCUGGGUCCCUUGCUUGGGUGGGGGUGCCCAUGGCCAUCUCCCCCAUCAAGGGAUCACCUGAGGCUGAGUUAGGGUUUGUUGGACAAAAGAGAAAUACAGCCAAGGUGCCCCUUCCUCUUGCAGGUGGGGAGCCCGCUAGUCCUGAUCCCGUCCCCUAACACCCACACCCGUACCGUGAUGAGGUUGUGUUCGGGGAGGCUGCAGGCCUCAAUGUGGUCCUGGAGCAGCUGCUGCGAGAAGUUCUGGUGCAUCUGGGCGGCUUCAUGGGCAUCCAUGGCGUUCCCACAGGCUUUAUUCA
rnacentral:lncRNA from 1 species